ensembl:snRNA U6 U6 spliceosomal RNA
GCUGGAUCUAGGCAGCACGUGUACGAAAAUUGGAACGAUACAGAGAUUAGCAUGGUCCCUGUGCAAGGAUGACAUGCAAAUUUGUGAAGCGUUCCAUAUUGUU